rnacentral:lncRNA from 10 species
CUUUUUAUUACCCAUUAAAAUUAACAUACAACUAUUACAAUAAAUGUGUCAGCCUACCACCUGUGUGAGAUAGUUUCCACUGACUCCUCCUUCUGAUCCACUUCCCAUCCUGCUCUGUCUCAGAAGCUGCCCUCCACAGGCUAACCUCAACUGGUUCUCUUGUCUUCUGGCUUCGGGGUGUAUUCAGCCAAGAGGCACUGGAGGAUAGUUAGAGGUUGGGAUAUUUAUCACCCUGACCUCCACCCUACCCUGCCCCAGUUGGCAGUAGCUGCAUUCUCUAACAAAGGCCAUGGGUCUCAUCAGGCAGCCCCUCUCUCAUGGCUGUAGAAAGAGUUUCAACCUUUUGCUCCUUCAGGUCCAAGAGUGACAAUGCUUCCAGCUGUUGCAAGUCCCCCGAGUUUCCCCACCUCUUCUUGGCUCCCUUAACUAUGCCCACCCCUUUAUAAAUAGUCCCUUCAUUAAGCCCUCCUCACCUACCCCCUUUCAUGAGGCCAUCUGUCUCCUGCUAGGGGGAUGCAGUAUCAAACCCCACCAGUGGUAGGCACACAUUUUUCACACCCAUAUAGGUGCCAGCUGAGACCCAGGAGGGAAUUCCUUAUCCAACAUCCCCCAGCCUGUGAGUGCCAGAGCUAGGAACAGUAUCCCUGGUUGGAUGUGUUUCUCCCCAUACAUACUGCUUCUCAAGGGAGAAAUUGGUCAGUUCUGUUAACAAUGCCCAAGUGUUCAUAUUGUAAUGUCCUCUUAUGAAUCUCUCACUCUUACACUUUCUUCCCCAUCCUAAUCCAUGUUCUGCUGGGCCCCAGAUGUAAAUGGGAUUGUGGCCAGCUCACCUCUUUCCUCCCCUUCCCCAGGACUCCCGGAUGUCAUGCAUCAGCCCUAUGAGAGUCUUGCCUCUUCUUCAACACACCUGUGUUUCACCGCUGUCCUUUGAUCAGGAGUCCUGUCUGGCAAAGUUCCUGUAAACAUCUGUCCAGGGCCUGAGCUCAGAAGGCAGAAUCCGUCGUGGAGCGUGUCCAACUCCUACCCCAAGAGCAGCCUCCAUGUUUACCCACGGACUGGGCUCACACACAGGCAGGCAGCUCCGAGCUCUGAGCACCUCAGCAUCCUUGGACUCUGAGCUAGCGUGGUCACAUGUCGGGGGGACAGAGUUCCCCAGCCCUUACCCUGCAGUCUUGCUUCUGAUAGGGAAACCUUGAGCUCGUAGUGACUGUGGGGCUGGCUCUCCAGGACAAGCCCCUCCAGUGGAGCCAGGAACCAGGAUGGAAGGUUGGGUUUGGGGGUGGACUGAUGGCCUGGAGUUCACUGCCACCUAUUUUCUUUUCCUCUUUUUCCAUCUCACCCAGAGCUGUGGGAAGAGGCCUUGACAACAGGUGAGAUUUGGGGCACCUGACUGUGACUUCAACCCAGCAGGUGGGGUUGGCCCAAAGCAGUUCCCCAGCUUGUCCUCUCAGGUCCUCUGGACACCCUUCCCCACCACACAUAACCCUGGACCUUCACAGCUCCCACACCACCAUCCACACCUAGGAAAGGACAUCGGACUGGAGGUCAGGGGCCUAGGAUUCAAGUCCCAGCUCUGCCGACAGCUACCAGUGUAUUCUUGGGCAAGUCACUGAACCUCUGUGGGUCCUGAUUCCCUUACCUGUAAGAGAGUGAUAAUCAUAAGGCCCUCUGCAUUGCUCUAAGGAUCAAGAUAAUGCUUGUGAAAGUCUUCACUGUACUCUAAAGUGUGAUUAAUAUAUAUUCUUUAUCCUGGAAUCUCCUAUCUCCUUUGAGUCCUGUUAAAUAAACCAUGAUGUGAAUGGUUAGUAAUGAAGUGUUUGCCCCCUUUCUAGACAGUUAUUUGUACUUGUAACCAUAACUUUCAAUGCCUUUAUUCAGCGAUAAGAGUACGGAAUUAAUUCCAAGUUCAGACCGGGUGUAGCAGCUCACAUCUGUAAUCCCAGCACUUUGUGAGGUCAAGAUGGGAAGAUCGCU